rnacentral:snRNA from 1 species
AUCGCUUCUCGGCCUUUUGGCUAAGAUCAAGUGUAGUAUCUGUUCUUAU